rnacentral:lncRNA from 1 species
CUGGUAUUGUCCCCAGCUCUCAAGGAACAGAUGAAAAAAUGCACAGCAAGGAUGGCCACUACAGAGACAGAAGAUUGGUGUGGAAGAACCAUGAGACCUUCCUUGACAUUCUCAGAAUUGGUGGAGGAGCUCUGUGAAUCCCAAAAGGUGGGUGG